rnacentral:lncRNA from 1 species
GCAUCUCGGAUAUUACUGCAGAGAAAAUGAUCGAAAACUGACUUAUCGAUUUCUUUUUAUGUCCAUGGAAGAACAAUGCUGAUGAAGAUGUAUGUUUAACCAAAACUGUGGCUGAUGUAGUUAAUAGGAUAUAGUGCAUUGAUCUAACCGGUGGCUGAUGUGGGUGCAAACGUUUUAAUAGGGAAAAUUGCUGGAUGGUCCAUGUCAGCAUCUCGAUGACUGGCUCUAAGAUCGAUGCUACUGUUGAUUUUUCCUAAUUCCGUUCCGCUGCCAGGUUGCGUCUGAGUAACUUCUAUGUUACUGUUGCCACUAGAGCUCAAAAUACUUUGCUGCCUAUGGUAUUUGUCGGUGGCAUCUUGAAGCAAUCUCAUCGUGCCGCCGGAAUCUGAACCAGGUGAGAGCUCUUCUUCUCGCUCCGGCUGGAUAUUCAAGUCAAUUUGGCCUUUAAAGGGUGAACUCGAGGACUUUAACCUGUUAGUAUCAUCAUCCAAAUUCUCGCUGACAACCUUUUCCGGAUUCAGGCUGCUGUUUCCCGCACUAGUAGUGCAAGGGAGAGGCUCAUCGCCCACUACUUUAUCGGGCAAUGAAGGCUGCUGCUUCUUGCGUGUAGCGUCUGCUUCUUUUUGCGAUUGUUUCUUCUCACGCCGCAGCAUUAGGGUGC